rnacentral:tRNA from 1 species
GCACGAGUUAGGAACGACUUCUCACUCGUAAUGAGAAGGUCAAGGGUUCGAUUCCCUUGGGCGGCUCCA